AAAAACAAACAAGGGAAUACGGGGAAUGCCUAGGCUCUGCAAGGCGAAGAAGGACGUGAUAAGCUGCGAAAAGCCGCGGGGAGGUGCAAAUAACCGAUAAUCCGCGGAUAUCCGAAUGGGGCAACCCACCAUAUAAAUGGUACCUCGAAACGAGGAGCGAACCCUCUGAACUGAAACAUCUAAGUAAGAGGAGGAAGAGAAAACAACAGUGAUACCGCAAGUAGUGGCGAGCGAACGCGGCACAGCCCAAACCGGACACGUUUAGGCGUAUCCGGGGUAGUAGGACUGCGAGAUACAAGUAUAAAAAGAACCGGAACGGCAUGGAAAGGCCGUCCGUAGAAGGUGAAAGACCCGUACGGGCAAUUUUUAUACGCGUUAGCAGUAUCCUGAGUAGGUCGGGGCACGAGAAACCCAGACUGAAACCGGCGGGACCACCCGCCAAGGCUAAACACUCAGCAGAGACCGAUAGUGAACAAGUACCGUGAGGGAAAGGUGAAAAGAACCUUGAAUAAAGGAGUGAAAAAGACCCUGAAACCGUAUGCCUACAAGCGGUCGGAGCCCAUUUAUUGGGUGACGGCGUGCCUUUUGCAUAAUGAUCCUACGAGUUACUGUUACCGGCAAGGUUAAGCGCUUCAGGCGCGUAAGCCGCAGCGAAAGCGAGUCUUAAAAGGGCGAAUUAGUCGGUAGUAGUAGACGCGAAACCUUGUGAUCUACCCAUGGCCAGGUUGAAGUGGGGGUAACACCCCAUGGAGGACCGAAUCGGUAAGCGUUGAAAAGCUUUCGAAUGAGCUGUGGGUAGGGGUGAAAGGCCAAUCAAACUGGGAAAUAGCUCGUACUCCCCGAAAUGCAUUUAGGUGCAGCGUCGCGGUUAAGUGAUAUAUAGGUAGAGCUACUGAUUGAAUGCGGGGGCUUCACCGCCUACCAAUUUCAGACAAACUCCGAAUAGUAUAUCACAUACGCGGCAGUGAGGGCAUGGGUGCUAAGGUCCAUGCCCGAGAGGGAAACAACCCGGACCAACAGCUAAGGUCCCCAAAUAUACGCUAAGUUGAAAAAACGAAGUAGAACUGCACAGACAGCCAGGAAGUUGGCUUGGAAGCAGCCAUUCUUUUAAAGAGUGCGUAACAGCUCACUGGUCGAGCGGUUCUGCAUGGAGAAUAAGCGGGCAUAAGCGUAUUACCGAAGCUAUGGCAGAUAACAAUCUGGGUAGGGGAGCAUUCCGUACAGCGCAGAAUCGGUAUUGUAAAGUACCGUGGAGCGUACGGAAAAGCAAAUGUAGGAAUAAGUAACGAUAAAGCGGGCGAGAAACCCGCUCACCGAAAGACCAAGGGUUCCCCGGCUAUGUUAAUCAGCCGGGGGUCAGUCGGGCCCUAAGGACAAGCCGAAAACAGGCUACUCCGAUGGACAAACGUUUAAUAUUACGUUACUCGUAUCGAGUGCGACGGGGCGACCUGGUAAUACCUCUUCGCGUGCUGACGGAAUAGCACGUUAAAGACUUUACUGGGCCGGGAGGCAAAUCCCCCGGCGGAAAGGUAAAGUUGAUAGUACACCCAAGCUACGGCGACGGUGAUAGCAAGACUAAAGAUCAGCAAGAAAAACCUCUAAGCUUCAGCUCGAUACGACCCGUACCGGAAACCGACACAGGUGGUCGAGAAGAGAAUUCUAAGGUGCUCGAGAGAUUCAUGGUUAAGGAACUAGGCAAAAUAGUCCUGUAACUUCGGGAAAAAGGUCACCGCAGCAAUGCGGUCUCAGAAAAUAGGUCCAGGCGACUGUUUAACAAAAACACAGGACUUUGCAAAAUCGAAAGAUGACGUAUAAGGUCUGACACCUGCCCGGUGCUGGAAGGUUAAGAGGAGAUGUCCGCAGCAAUGCAAAGCAUUGAAUUGAAGCCCCAGUAAACGGCGGCCGUAACUAUAACGGUCCUAAGGUAGCGAAAUUCCUUGUCGGGUA
rnacentral:rRNA from 1 species